rnacentral:rRNA from 1 species
AUGCACGCUGGCGGCGUGCCUCAUCCAUGCAAGUCGCGCGAACAGACGAGGAGCUUGCUCCUCUGACGUUAGCGGCGGGCGGGUGAGUAACACGUGGAUAACCUACCUAUAAGACUGGGAUAACUUCGGGAAACCGGAGCUAAUACCGGAUAAUAUAUUGAACCGCAUGGUUCAAUAGUGAAAGACGGUUUUGCUGUCACUUAUAGAUGGAUCCGCGCCGCAUUAGCUAGUUGGUAAGGUAACGGCUUACCAAGGCAACGAUGCGUAGCCGACCUGAGAGGGUGAUCGGCCACACUGUAACUGAGACACGGUCCAGACUCCUACGGGAGGCAGCAGUAGGGAAUCUUCCGCAAUGGGCGAAAGCCUGACGGAGCAACGCCGCGUGAGUGAUGAAGGUCUUCGGAUCGUAAAACUCUGUUAUUAGGGAAGAACAAAUGUGUAAGUAACUAUGCACGUCUUGACGGUACCUAAUCAGAAAGCCACGGCUAACUACGUG